UUUCGAAAUUGACAAGAAAUAACGUGAAAAUUAACAUUUUGUUUUACUUAUUUUGCCCCCUCCCCCUCAUACACACAUAAACAUAGACAGUGCUUCCGCUUUCGGUUCUUGGAACCUUAUUUUUGCUAGCUAAGUUCUUAGUGUUUGGAAUGAUUUUUUAGAAUCUUUUUAGUCACGCUAGGUGCGUGAACACGUUUAGUGUACGUAAAAUGGUAUUUAGCAGAUUGGCGCUUUUUCCUCCCCCCACCCCCACCCCGGUUCUCUGCAUUAAAACAGGGACUCAGUGGUUAGGGUUCAGUUCCAGCUGAUUUUAUUUCCUUCUCUCUCUCUCUCUCUCUCUCUCUCUCUCUCUCUCAGUCUCUUUCUCUCAAAGAAAUAUUUACAAGAGUUUAUCAACAAUCUGACAGGCAGUGACUUGACACGAUUAGCUGGCAUGAAUUUUCUUUUUUCAAAAAAAAAGUUGUGUUGAGGCAUGAUCUGACAGACUAUACACAGCAUAUUGCACAGGAUGAGUGAAAAUAAAAAAAUAGUUAAAAUAAUAAAAGAUUUAAAAAAAACUAACAAUCGGACAGCUACCAAGAUUUUUGUUUCCGCGGUUGCUGCCUUAAUGCCUGUCACGGUAGUUUUGGACACAUACAAGUAACACGUCUCAUGUUUAUAUAAUACAGAUUUAAAUAUACAAAGGCGUUCGCACUUUUCUCCCAACCCCUCCCCUUCAAUAAACCCCCCACAACAGCUCUACCUGAUUUUGGAAUUAUAUAAGCUAGCUUCAUGCCAAAAACAAUAAUAUUUUGCCGACAAGUUAUAAGAAUUAAUACUAGUUAUUAUUACAGAAUGAGAAACACAGUAUUGUGUAGCGAACUCAAAUCAAUAUUUGAUAUCCAGUGGUUAAGCGCCAUUUAAGGAUCGCCACAUAAAUGGGAUAAAGGUGCAGCAUCCCUUGUAAUCUACGUUGGUGCUCAACCUCAGGAGGCUUGGAAUAAGUACAAAAUCCUGUUUGGUUACCCCCAUUACACUUCGCUAAUACUUGUUUACUUGGAAUAUGACUGCAGCCAAUACAAAGUUUAAAGGAAGCUUUAAGGUCACCUGUUUCAAGGUAAAAGUGUCCAAAUGGUUUCCCACGUUUAAAUACUAUAAAGGAGACAUAUCAGCUAUAAUAGACAGGAAGGGACGUUGUGAGUUUUAACAUCAACAACAGCUGUGAAGCCAACAUAAAGGUAACUGCAGCUUUACGUUACAAAACCUGCAGAUUGAAGUGUGUAAACAUGUGGAAUAUAAAAAAGAGGCAACAUUGUGAUAUCGGCCUCUUUGUUCAUGAUCAUGAAAUCCAAACAGCGAUAAACACCGAUUAACACCCCCUUUAUAUUUUUUACAAAAAUACACUGAGAAAAUAAUCAAACGUCUCAUCUUUCUCUUUUUUUUAAAAGUGUCAAAGUCUACAUUUAAAUAUAAAAUUAAAAGUUUAACUCUAGCCCUUCAGUGAAGGAGAUAAAACGGUGCAGGUAAUUAACAGGCCUACGAAAAAAAAGUCAAAAUGUUUGGCCAGUAUAAAUACAUCCAUAUAAAAUGGUUUCUGAUUACAUUUACAAGGGAAACAAAACAAUACGAGGAUGAAACAUCGGUGACAAGAAGUUCAUUUUGUUUUGUAGAAUUUGUGGAAUAUGGAACUUUUGAGGAAAUUUGGUCCAGAAAAUGCAGUCCAGCGGAGAUUUGAGUUGCGUUAAUGGUUAUAAUGUAUGCUGCGCUUGGAGUUGCUGUCUCCAUGAGGCCCCCGCGUUAUUGGCUGUAUAUGAUCCUCGAAAAUGGUGAGAGCGAGCAUGUGCACGGAGUUCAAUAGAUGGUGCAGAGCAGCAUGAAGAUUCAGAGAUAUUGCAUCUGCUGUCGACCUGUUGUGGCAGUGGGCAAAUUGAAGUGGAUCCAGGUACGACUCUUCCCACCAUCGAGAGCAUCUACAAGAGGCGGAUAUCUCAGGAAGGCGGCAUCCACCAUCAGGGACCCCCACCAUCCAGGCCAUGCCCUCUUCCCGAUGCUGCCAUCAGGCACAAGGUACAGGAGCCUGAAGACCCACACCUCAAGGUUCAACAACAGCUUCCUCCCCACUGCCAUCAGGUUCUUGAACCGACCUGAAAAACCCUAACACUACCUCGGACUAUAUAUUUUUUUCUCUCUCCCAAUCUUGCAUUGGUGUCAUUGUGUUUAUCUUGUUGUUUAUUUUGCACAUACAUAAGUGAUGUAUAAUUUAUGUUAAUUUAAGUUUAUGUUAACUUAUGUUUGUCCUUGUCUUGUAAUGUACUGUGCUGCUGCUGCAAAAAGCUAAUUUUCAUGGCAUUUAUACCCUGUGUAUAUAUGCCGAUGACAACA